UACGUAGGGUGCGAGCGUUGCCCGGAUUCAUUGGGCGUACAGCGCGCGCAGGCGGAUGCACGCAUCCCGCGUGAAAUCGCCCGGCUCAACCGGGCGGGGUCGCGGGAGAUGGUGCGUCUGGAGCACGGGAGGGGGCAGUGGAAUUCCCGGUGUAGUGGUGGAAUGCGUAGAGAUCGGGAGGAACACCAGUGGCGAAGGCGACUGCCUGGACCGUGGCUGACGCUGAGGCGCGAAAGCGUGGGGAGCGAUCCGG
rnacentral:rRNA from 2 species